UUGUAAAAAAAGAUAUUUAAUAAUAAAAAAUUAAAUGAGAUCAUUAAAUUUAAAUAAUUUGGCGGUAUUUUAAAUAGUUAGAGGAAUUUGUUAAUUAAAUGAUAAUCCACGAGUAGAAUGACCUAAGUAUAUUUUUAUGUAUUGUUGUAUAAAAAUUAUUUUAUAAGAAUUAUAAUUGAAAAAUUAAAUUUAGUUUGAAUUCAAAUCAAAAUGUAGAAUUAUUAGGUUUUAAUGAAUUACAAUUUAAGAUAAUAUUAAAAUUAUUUUUUUAAUUAGAAUAAUGAAAAAGGAUUUAAAAGUAAAUUUGAAGAAAUAUUUAAAUUGAAAUAUUAAUUAAAAUAUG
rnacentral:rRNA from 1 species